GUAGCAAUACAUGGCGUACUGCUCAGUAACACGUGGACAACCUACCCUCAGGUCGGGGAUAAACCCGGGAAACUGGGUAUAAUACCCGAUAGAACUCGGCUGCCGGAAUGCAUCGAGUUCUAAAGCUCCGGCGCCUGAGGAUGGGUCUGCGGCCUAUCAGGUAGUAGUGGGUGUAGCGUACCUACUAGCCUACGACGGGUACGGGUUGUGAGAGCAAGAGCCCGGAGAUGGAUUCUGAGACACGAAUCCAGGCCCUACGGGGUGCAGCAGGCGCGAAAACUUUACAAUGCCGGCAACGGCGAUAAGGGGACCUCGAGUGCCAGGUUACAAAUCUGGCUGUCGUGAUGCCUAAAAAGCAUUGCAUAGCAAGGGCCGGGCAAGACCGGUGCCAGCCGCCGCGGUAACACCGGCGGCUCGAGUGGUAACCGUUAUUAUUGGGUCUAAAGGGUCUGUAGCCGGCCGGAUAAGUCUCUUGGGAAAUCCAGCAGCUCAACUGUUGGGCUUUCAGGAGAUACUGUCUGGCUCGAGGCCGGGAGAGGUGAGAGGUACUUCAGGGGUAGGGGUGAAAUCUUGUAAUCCUUGAAGGACCACCAGUGGCGAAGGCGUCUCACCAGAACGGACCUGACGGCAAGGGACGAAAGCUAGGGGCACGAACCGGAUUAGAUACCCGGGUAGUCCUAGCCGUAAACGAUACUCGCUAGGUGUCGGCCACGGUGCGACCGUUGUCGGUGCCGUAGGGAAGC
rnacentral:rRNA from 1 species